ACUAGGAAGCACGGCUUUCGGGUCAAAGAGCAAGCAUGUCUCUCUGUGUUUGGUCCUUGAUUCCUCUAAAUGUUUCUCUUCUUUGUCUGUUCCUAUUUUCCUCUUUCUCCAGCCGUAGAUUCUCUAUUCUGUUUGUCUGCCCACACUAUUUUCUUACAACUUUCUCUCUUUCUCAAUUGAGUCUCUCUGUAUUGGUCUUUUCAGAGAUUUGAUAUUUGAAGGUACUUAGUUCCUUCCUCUGUUUAAAGUUUGAUAUCUAUAUGGUGUGAUUGUCUUCUUCAAUACCCAAGCACAGGAAUUUUUAUGCCAGAAGUUCUACUAUUUUAUGGAACUAAUGAGCAUGAGGAUGAUAAAUGUGGUCUAAUAUUGUAACAUCACCCAUGAUGCCUACUAUUACAAGACAUCGAGGGGAGUAUUUUACCUUCUUUAAGCUUUCUUAUCUUAACUUUUGUUAUUUAACGUGUAUGUAUAUAUGUUCUUUGUGAUGUAAGAAUAACUAUCGGUAGAGCAAGGCUUAAGCUAAAUCAAUCUCUUUUGGUACAUUGAUACCAGAUUCACAAUUUUGGGUAAAUUCAGAGGCCAGCAAAAAAGCUAGAAGGAAUUGCUGGAAAAGAUGAUACAAUAUCUGAAGACAAACUCUCACUUCACUCGUGCCACACUUAUUAUAGGAAGUACUUUUGCUUCUACGAGCGUCUUAAACUCUUCGAUGUUUUGAGUUUUCACUAUAUUUCUUCUAUAUCUCAAUCUAUUAAUGCACUUCUGCGCAUGGGCCUCUUUUGGUUAAAGUUGAGGUACGUUACAGUGUGACUAAAGAACUAACUAUGUAAACUCCUCUAUAAGGAAUCUUUAAUUUUCUUUUGUAGUUCGGGCUAGGAAAAUGACCUGUCACAUUACCACUGAAAUUCAUGGAUCAUUUCGGGAAAUGGAUCUGAUCGUACUUUCUGGGAGUUGAGCAUCUUCAGUUGAACUUUGGAGGAAAUUUAAUGAACGCAUUGUGUGUGGCUACAGGGGAGUUGAAACUAUAGAUUGGGUGCAGCCAGGCCGUUUUUUAUGCUUGAUUUUGAUGGAGCAAUUGAUGAUAUACAUUCUCCAGUGACUGAAGCUAUUUAUAAGCAGGGAACUUUCAUGAGCAUGGAGGGCAAUGAUACCUUUUUUUCCCUCCAGUCAACGGAUGUAAGUCAGUUGUGAGAGCUGUUAAACAAACUUUUUGAUCGAGUUGGAUGAUGUGCAACUCUACAAGGACCUGGUUUGCAGCUGGGAGAGAUGCAAGUCUAUGGGGGUACCGUAGAGCAUUUAGGAAUUUAUGCGAGAAACUAAAUGUUUCUGUGAACAGAAGUCUACUAUUGUAUACUCUUGAAGUUCUGAUAUAAAUGGCAUCUUAUAGUGAUGAGUAUAUAGCAAAUUUUUCUUUUUGAGUGUUAUGUAGAAUUUAUUCAUUUUAUAGGAGGAUAUUGUUAAGGCUGCCUCUCUAAGAAUAACCAGUACCUAAGUUAUAGUGUUUGGCUUAUUUUGAUA